rnacentral:rRNA from 1 species
GACGAACUGUCCUAACGUUGUUCGGAAUUACUGGGCGUAAAGGGCUCGUAGGCGGCCAACUAAGUCAGACGUGAAAUCCCUCGGCUUAACCGGGGAACUGCGUCUGAUACUGGAUGGCUUGAGUUUGGGAGAGGGAUGCGGAAUUCCAGGUGUAGCGGUGAAAUGCGUAGAUAUCUGGAGGAACACCGGUGGCGAAGGCGGCAUCCUGGACCAACACUGACGCUGAGACACGAAAGCGUGGGUAGCAAACAGG